AAAAUUACAAUUAAAUAGCCCAACUCUUCAAUAUGUCAAAUGGAAAUACUAAUUAAAUAAAAACAAACUCAGUAACAUAAAUAUUUAGAACUUCAUUAAGGAAAAACAUAAAGUACAUAUAUAUUUGGAAUGGAGUACACAAGAGGGGUACCAAAGGGUUAUCCAAAUUAUGAUUGAGGUUGAAUUAAAGAUGGUGCCACAUAUAUAAAACCAUUAUCCUUAUAUAUUUUGAAGAGGUAGAGUGUUAUGAUUUUAAGGAGCUGGAAUUGGCUUCUUAAAAGACAAUGGUGGUAGAAAUGGUUUCUUGAAUUUGGGAUCAAAUGGUAGUUUAGGAAUAGACUUCUUCAACAAAGGCUUUGGUUUUAAGAAUUCCUCUGACUCAAUGGUAGGGAUAGGCUUAACAAAUGGCUCUGGAACAGGUUUAAGAACAGGAAUUGGCUUAACAAUUGGCUUUGGAACAGGUUUAAGAAUAGGAAUUGGUUUAACAAAUGGUUUUGGAACAGGUUUAAGAAUAGGAAUAGGCUUAACAAAUGGUUUAGGAACGGGUUUAAGAAUAGGAAUAGGCUUAACAAUUGGUUUUGGAACAGGUUUAAGAAUGGGAACAGGCUUAACAACAGGAAUUAUCUUUGGUAUUGGCUUAACUUUGGGAAUAGGUUUUGGGAAAAUACCUUUGAAUUUUGCUUCUUCACUGGGAAUAGGUUUUGGUGUUGGUUUCUUAUAGAANGGAAUUGGAAUAGGUUUAGGUUUAAUGAGAGGAAGUGGCUUUGGAAUAGGUUUAGCAAAUGGAAUUGGUUUAGGAAACANUCCUUUGAAUUUUGAUUCUUCAUCAUCAUGUCCUUCUCCAUUUACUUUUUCUAAAUCUUCAUUCACAACNAUCCCAUUCUUGUUCACUUCAUUUCCUGCAUAAAAAAUGCAGUUAUAUUAAAUAACAAAACGAACACAGGAAUGAAGUUCAUGAGGGAUUAGUGUCUAGUUUAAUAUAUUUUGAAAACUUACUAAAAAAGAAUAAUAAGCACAAACCUGAAAUUUGAGUAGUGGAAAGAACAGAAGCUAAGUUGAGAAGGAGCAACAAGGGAAAGAAGAAGCACAAGAACAGUUUUCUCAUUGUUAAAACAACUAAUGAAGCUAAAAGGAGAAAUGUCUGAAGGCUUGAGUCACAAGCUGCUGCAUAAUCACAUUAUUUAUAAUGUCUAUCUUUCAGGAUUUUUCUUAACA
rnacentral:lncRNA from 1 species